CCCAACUAGUACUAUUUGAUCUAAAAAAAUCCAACCUGAAAACUUUCUCUUUCAGAAAACCCUCUAUCCCCAAGCCCCUUUACUAGGUUGGGCAAGCUUUGAUGCCCCUACUCCCAAGAAGUUGCUGGUCGGGAUCGUGGAACUAUCGCUCGAGAAGUAAGAAGCUGAUCCUUGUUUGGUCAUCAGGAUAAUAGUUCUUCUUAGGUCAGG
rnacentral:lncRNA from 1 species